rnacentral:tRNA from 1 species
GCCCGGAUGGUGAAAUUGGUAGACACAGGGGACUUAAAAUCCCCCGCUUUCCCUUCAACGGGGCGUGCCGGUUCGACCCCGGCUCCGGGCACCA